GUUAGUAUCAAGCAGCUGCUUCGAAUCCAAAGGGGUGGCUAGACGUAAAGUGAAAUUUUAGUUGGCGUAUGAAAUCAUACAAUGGGGAAGUUAGAUC